CAGUAGCCGCGGUAAUACGUAGGUCCCGAGCGUUGUCCGGAUUUAUUGGGCGUAAAGCGAGCGCAGGCGGUUUGAUAAGUCUGAAGUUAAAGGCUGUGGCUCAACCAUAGUUCGCUUUGGAAACUGUCAAGCUUGAGUGUAGAAGGGGAGAGUGGAAUUCCAUGUGUAGCGGUGAAAUGCGUAGAUAUAUGGAGGAACACCGGUGGCGAAAGCGGCUCUCUGGUCUGUAACUGACGCUGAGGCUCGAAAGCGUGGGGAGCGAACAGGAUUAGAUACCCGCGUAGUCCCUGUCUCUUAUACA
rnacentral:rRNA from 1 species